rnacentral:rRNA from 1 species
GGGACACGUGGUAUCCUGUCUGAAUAUGGGGGGACCAUCCUCCAAGGCUAAAUACUCCUGACUGACCGAUAGUGAACCAGUACCGUGAGGGAAAGGCGAAAAGAACCCCGGCGAGGGGAGUGAAAAAGAACCUGAAACCGUGUACGUACAAGCAGUGGGAGCACGCUUAGGCGUGUGACUGCGUACCUUUUGUAUAAUGGGUCAGCGACUUAUAUUCUGUAGCAAGGUUAACCGAAUAGGGGAGCCGAAGGGAAACCGAGUCUUAACUGGGCGUUAAGUUGCAGGGUAUAGACCCGAAACCCGGUGAUCUAGCCAUGGGCAGGUUGAAGGUUGGGUAACACUAACUGGAGGACCGAACCGACUAAUGUUGAAAAAUUAGCGGAUGACUUGUGGCUGGGGGUGAAAGGCCAAUCAAACCGGGAGAUAGCUGGUUCUCCCCGAAAGCUAUUUAGGUAGCGCCUCGUGAAUUCAUCUCCGGGGGUAGAGCACUGUUUCGGCAAGGGGGUCAUCCCGACUUACCAACCCGAUGCAAACUGCGAAUACCGGAGAAUGUUAUCACGGGAGACACACGGCGGGUGCUAACGUCCGUCGUGAAGAGGGAAACAACCCAGACCGCCAGCUAAGGUCCCAAAGUCAUGGUUAAGUGGGAAACGAUGUGGGAAGGCCCAGACAGCCAGGAUGUUGGCUUAGAAGCAGCCAUCAUUUAAAGAAAGCGUAAUAGCUCACUGGUCGAGUCGGCCUGCGCGGAAGAUGUAACGGGGCUAAACCAUGCACCGAAGCUGCGGCAGCGACGCUUAUGCGUUGUUGGGUAGGGGAGCGUUCUGUAAGCCUGUGAAGGUGUGCUGUGAGGCAUGCUGGAGGUAUCAGAAGUGCGAAUGCUGACAUAAGUAACGAUAAAGCGGGUGAAAAGCCCGCUCGCCGGAAGACCAAGGGUUCCUGUCCAACGUUAAUCGGGGCAGGGUGAGUCGACCCCUAAGGCGAGGCCGAAAGGCGUAGUCGAUGGGAAACAGGUUAAUAUUCCUGUACUUGGUGUUACUGCGAAGGGGGGACGGAGAAGGCUAUGUUGGCCGGGCGACGGUUGUCCCGGUUUAAGCGUGUAGGCUGGUUUUCCAGGCAAAUCCGGAAAAUCAAGGCUGAGGCGUGAUGACGAGGCACUACGGUGCUGAAGCAACAAAUGCCCUGCUUCCAGGAAAAGCCUCUAAGCAUCAGGUAACAUCAAAUCGUACCCCAAACCGACACAGGUGGUCAGGUAGAGAAUACCAAGGCGCUUGAGAGAACUCGGGUGAAGGAACUAGGCAAAAUGGUGCCGUAACUUCGGGAGAAGGCACGCUGAUAUGUAGGUGAAGUCCCUCGCGGAUGGAGCUGAAAUCAGUCGAAGAUACCAGCUGGCUGCAACUGUUUAUUAAAAACACAGCACUGUGCAAACACGAAAGUGGACGUAUACGGUGUGACGCCUGCCCGGUGCCGGAAGGUUAAUUGAUGGGGUCAGCGCAAGCGAAGCUCUUGAUCGAAGCCCCGGUAAACGGCGGCCGUAACUAUAACGGUCCUAAGGUAGCGAAAUUCCUUGUCGGGUAAGUUCCGACCUGCACGAAUGGCGUAAUGAUGGCCAGGCUGUCUCCACCCGAGACUCAGUGAAAUUGAACUCGCUGUGAAGAUGCAGUGUACCCGCGGCAAGACGGAAAGACCCCGUGAACCUUUACUAUAGCUUGACACUGAACAUUGAGCCUUGAUGUGUAGGAUAGGUGGGAGGCUUUGAAGUGUGGACGCCAGUCUGCAUGGAGCCGGCCUUGAAAUACCACCCUUUAAUGUUUGAUGUUCUAAC